AUUGAACGCUGGCGGCAUGCCUAACACAUGCAAGUCGAACGGGGUGUAGCAAUACAUCUAGUGGCGGACGGGUGAGGAAUACAUAGGAAUUUGCCCUUAAGUGGGGGAUAGUCCGGGGAAACUCGGUUUAAUACCGCAUGAUCUCGUGAGAGCAAAGCAGGGGACCGCAAGGCCUUGCGCUUUUGGGGAAGCCUAUGUCGGAUUAGCUAGUUGGUAGGGUAAUGGCCUACCAAGGCGACGAUCCGUAACUGGUCUGAGAGGAUGAUCAGUCACACCGGAACUGAGACACGGUCCGGACUCCUACGGGAGGCAGCAGUGGGGAAUAUUGGACAAUGGGCGCAAGCCUGAUCCAGCAAUGCCGCGUGU
rnacentral:rRNA from 1 species